CAGAAUGAGUCAAAACUUUCAACAACGGAUCUCUUGGUUCUGGCAUCGAUGAAGAACGCAGCGAAAUGCGAUAAGUAAUGUGAAUUGCAGAAUUCAGCGAACCAUCGAAUCUUUGAACGCACAUUGCGCCCGCCGGCAUUCUGGCGGGCAUGCCUGCCCGAGCGUCGCUUUCGACCCUC
rnacentral:rRNA from 2 species